ACUGUCUGGAAAUCAUCUCUGGCCUCUUUCAGUGGCCGUGGUCGAUAUAACGGUGCCCACAGCAAAGGGAACAUUAAGUUUAAUUGCCCUUAAGCAACACAUGGGGGCAAUAAAACCCAUGCACCUAUAUUA